UACGUAGGGGGCAAGCGUUGUCCGGAAUUAUUGGGCGUACAGCGCGCGCAGGCGGUCGAUUAAGUCUGGUGUAUAAACCAAGGGCUCACCCUUUGGACGCAUUGGAAACUGGUCGACUGGAGUGUAGGAGAGGAAAGUGGAAUUCCACGUGUAGCGGUGAAAUGCGUAGAGAUGUGGAGGAACACCAGUGGCGAAGGCGACUUUCGGGACUAUAACUGAUGCUGAGGCGCGAAAGCGUGGGGAGCAAACAGG
rnacentral:rRNA from 1 species